GGAGGAGUGCCGGAGUGGUUGAACGGGACGGUCUCGAAAACCGUUGUGGGCUCGCGCCCACCCAGGGUUCGAAUCCCUGCUCCUCCGCCA
rnacentral:tRNA from 1 species